rnacentral:rRNA from 1 species
GACGGGGGGGGGCAAGUGUUCUUCGGAAUGACUGGGCGUAAAGGGCACGUAGGCGGUGAAUCGGGUUGAAAGUGAAAGUCGCCAAAAAGUGGCGGAAUGCUCUCGAAACCAAUUCACUUGAGUGAGACAGAGGAGAGUGGAAUUUCGUGUGUAGGGGUGAAAGUCCGUAGAUCUACGAAGGAACGCCAAAAGCGAAGGCAGCUCUCUGGGUCCCUACCGACGCUGAGGCGCGAAAGCUAGGGGAGCGAACAGG